UACGUAGGGAGCAAGCGUUGUCCGGAAUCAUUGGGCGUAAAGCGCGUGUAGGCGGUCCGGUAAGUCCGCUGUGAAAGUCGGGGGCUCAACCCUCGGAUGCCGGUGGAUACUGUCGGGCUUGAGUACGGAAGAGGCGAGUGGAAUUCCUGGUGUAGCGGUGAAAUGCGCAGAUAUCAGGAGGAACACCAAGUGCGAAGGCAGCUCGCUGGGACGUUACUGACGCUGAGACGCGAAAGCGUGGGGAGCGAACAGG
rnacentral:rRNA from 1 species